ensembl:ncRNA F28F5.16 ncRNA
UUAUUAUAGGGCCACUGUCUUCUUUUUUCACCUUUUUCCACACCGCCGCCUCAUCAUCUGUUACUAGAAACAGGAGGUGACCGUUGAGUACAGAUAUCGAUAGAUCAUUAAUUCACAGGGGUCUCCAAGCUGUGUAGCUACAAUUUCUC